ACCUAGUGUUAGUGUUGUGCU
rnacentral:miRNA from 1 species